UACGUAGGUGGCAAGCGUUGUCCGGAUUUACUGGGCGUAAAAGAGCGCGCAGGCGGUCAGAUAAGUCGAAUGUGAAACCCCCCGGCUCAACUGGGGAGGGUCAUUCGAUACUGUUCGACUCGAAGGCAGGAGAGGGAAGUGGAAUUCCCGGUGUAGUGGUGAAAUGCGUAGAUAUCGGGAGGAACACCAGUGGCGAAGGCGACUUCCUGGCCUGUUCUUGACGCUGAGGCGCGAAAAGCUAGGGGGAGCAAACGGGGAU
rnacentral:rRNA from 1 species